GCUCGACAAGUUGAUGCAACCUCAUGUGGUGUUAUUGUGUGUAAAUUAGCAGACAUGAUUCUUAAUGAAGAGGACAUGGAGGACGUUUUUGACAAGACUUCCAUUUUAAGGAUGAGGUUGCAGAUAGGCAAACGGCUGAUCAAAGAAACAGAUGAUUUGACCAACCUAUGCCGAGCGUGUGGCUCAUAUGACACAGAUGUGCAAUGGAUUGCUUGCACACCUUGUGAUCAAUGGUUCCACAGAAGCUGUGUUGGGCAACCACCUGUGGAGGCACCUUUUUAUUGCCCAUUGUGUAUUUAAACCUGUU